AAACUGAAGAGUUUGAUCCUGGCUCAGAACGAACGCUGGCGGCGUGGCUAAGGCAUGCAAGUCGAACGGACCCUUUCAAGGGGUAACCCGAGAAUUGGUUAGUGGCGAACGGGUGAGGAAUACUUGGAUAACGUACCCCGAACUCAGGGAUAGCGGCGGACUUCGGUCCUUUGCGAAAGUGCCGGUAAUACCUGAUGACCCCGCGUGAUCGCAUGAUCGUGCGGGCAAAGCUCCGACGGUUCGGGAUCGGUUCAAGUCCUAUCAGCU
rnacentral:rRNA from 1 species